GCCAAAAUGGUGUAAUGGUUUGCGUGUUGAACCACAACUCUGGAGGCCAGGGUUCAAAUCCCUUCUUGGCC